UACGUAGGCAGCGAGCGUUGUUCGGAAUUACUGGGCGUAAAGAGUGUGUAGGCGGUGCUCCCAGUCUGUUGUGAAAUCUCCCGGCUUAACUGGGAGGGUGCAGCGGAAACUAGAGUGCUAGAGGGUGGGAGAGGUAAGCGGAAUUCCUGGUGUAGCGGUGAAAUGCGUAGAUAUCAGGAGGAACACCUGUGGUGUAGACAGCUUCUGGACCACUUCUGACGCUGAGACACGAAAGCGUGGGUAGCAAACAGG
rnacentral:rRNA from 1 species